CUUCCCGUCGUCUGCGGCCAGGGUGGGAGCAGGGCACAGGGAGCGAGUCAGGCCCUCCUGGCCCAGGCCCCGCCCCCUAAGCGGGGAUAGGAUUCUGAGUAGGGGCCCAGACCCUCCGGGGACAAGGGGGCUGCACCCAACGGUACCCUCUGAAGGGAACAGGCCCACUUUGCAGGAACCCAAGGGGCAGGGCAGUUCCUGUGCAGCCCUGGGCAGGGACGCCACAAAGGCUCGCCAGACGGAGAACCGAACGGGCUGGGACAGCACGGCAGGGCCCACACGCCACUUGGGGCCGAGGCUCGGUGCACAUCCAUCCGGGCUGGCCCCGGACCUUCACGGAGAAGCCACAGGGAGGCGCAGGGAACCCUCCUGGCUGUCGGGGCCUCUUCGGAAGCAGCCGGCCAGGGAAGCUGGGCUCCGUCAGCAGAGGCUGAGUGGUCAAAGGGGACGGCCAAGGACACCGGGGGUUUGGUCUCUCAGCAGACGUCCCCGUGCAGUCUGGGACAGUGGUCAGCCCCAGCGUGAAGAGACAUGAGAAGGGACAGGGGUGGGGACAGGACUCCGCCGUGGAGGGACUGAGUGCGAGCCUCCACGGGCCCAUCGGGCACGGUGGGGGCUCCCCGGGGGGCCCUGCUUUCGCUUCCAGGCUUUCUCAGGCCAGCUUCUGAAGCCGCCCCGGACCCAGGACAGGAAGACCUGACUUUGGUCCUCCAGGCCUUCCCUGGGCCCGAAUGUGGGUCAGGUGGAAACGGACAUCUGAGUGACGUCCCCCACAGCCUUGUCUCCAUUUUCCCACCCUUCCAAGUGCCUCAAACGGGGAAUCUGGAACCCUGUGUCACGCGGACCUGGGUUCAAGGCCCACCAACCUAAGGCUGUGUGGCGUCAGGCCAUCUGCUCUACCUCUCUGAGCCUCUGCUCCUCUGUGGCAUGAGGUGAAGAAUUCCCACCAGAUGGUGGUUGUGAGGACAACACGAGGUCACUGUGCCAGGCACUGCAUGAGCAUCGCUCCCACAGGCCUUCAGCACGGCCAGACCACACUCGCCUCCUUGGGGAGGCUGCUGAUUGGCUCUCUCGUUUCAGGUCCUCCCCAGAUUUGCCUCCAUCCUAGACUGUGCUCCCACAAACCCCCAACUCUCCCAGGGCCUGAAGCCCCCCACCCUGCCCAACGGUGGGACCCAGGGGAAGCCAGACUCACCGUUCUUGUCGGCUCUGCGGAACACCUGGAGGACAAAGGCAGGGUGGGAGCUGUGAGUGGGCCUGGGAGGAAGCUCUCCCAGAUCUCAUCUGUGCGAAUCUUCACCAGCCUCUGAGACUCCAAGGGAAGUCAUUCACACCUGGCUGUUGUGGCCAUUUGGAGGAGUGAACCAGCAGAUGGAAGACCUCUUUGCUGCAUGUUUACAAGGCCCACAACUACCCAGAAUGAACACAGCCAACUGGUGAGUUGCCUGGGGGCAGGCGAAGGAGGAGUCCACUUACCCCCUGCGGUUUGUCACUUCUCAGGACAAGAUUCUCUACUGGACCCAUCUUUAGCUAGGAGGAAGAUGCCCACCUUUCUUGGAGUCAUGAGGCUCAAACGAGACUGACCGGGGCAGGGCGAGGAAGGGACGUGGGGAACGGCAUUUCCCAGCCAGACUUGCUCCCAGUACAGAGUCCCCAGACCCAGCCCAAACGUCAUCAAAAUAUUUAUUAAAACCAAAGCAGGAGAGAACAGAGCUGUUAGGAAACAAGUCAAAGUGCAGAUGGAGGGUGGGACGGAGCAGCCAGCUGACCACACGAGAGGCCCCUCACUCACCCCUCCUGCCCACCCUCAGGGAAGAUCCCUCACUCCCCUCUCCCUGCUCACGGCCAACCUGGGGGACGGCUGGGGACCUGCAGUGACUCUGGGGAGGAGCCACCCCCUCCAUCACUCACGGCUGGCUGGCUGUCAGUCAGUCUGUCUCCCUCCCUCCUUUUCCCAAUAAAUAAAUCGCUCAGGCCUCAGCUCCUUCCGGGCGGGGUGAGAACAGCUCAGGGCCCCGUCUCUGCUCAGGGACAGGGAGUCAGCUCUGCAGGCCUUCCUCCCUCCGACCCUUUGCCCAUUCCCAGGCUACCCAGGAGGCCUUGAUAAAUAAAUAACGCUCCAUUAAAGCUUCGGUCAGGAAACCCUUAAGACAGAAGUGCUCACUGUCCUGUACCCUCACAGCCAAGGGCUCCCACCUGGCCCGCUCAGCACACAGGAUGCUGUGGGCAGGGGGCUGCCCUGGGCCUCGUGGGGCCCCUGGAGCAAGGAGACCGAAAGUGCAGUUCGAGCCCCCUCACGCGCACACACGGACGCACGCCACACACGUGGACACACUGGGGUGCGUCUGCAGUACACGCACAGAUGUGUUCACCUUCAUUCCCCGGUCCACGCACACAUGCACGCUCACACCACACGCACCCCAGGUACACACGUGGGGGGUGUCAGGGAUAAGCACACACACACUGCAAACAGAAUCCCCCCUUCCUGGCGACAGCCAGAUCCCAGAGCGAGAAGCCCCUGGAGAUAGGAGAGGGGAAUAAAUUAAACAUUUCCAAUCAGGCUGGGAGGACGGCCAGAGGCAAGGGGCUCCGGGGCUGCAGAGACAGCCAGGGUGGGCAUCUCAGGAGAUACCUCCCCCCGAAGC